UGUAAAGUUCUCAAUGUUUGUCUUUAUGACAAACACCAAAAUAACACAUUCAAGUGUUCUUGGAAUUUGAGUCCGGCAAAAUCGAGUCUGCAUCAUGUAUAAAAAUUGCAGACAACUUUGGUGACUUGUUCAUCAACUAGCACGUAUCCUUACCUGAAUACAUAGGKUAAKGAGGCGAACCGGGGGAACUGAAACAUCUAAGUACCCCGAGGAAAAGAAAUCAACCGAGAUUCCGAAAGUAGCGGCGAGCGAAAUUGGACUAGCCCUUAAGCUUUACACGCGUUAGACGAACGGUCUGGAAAGUCCGACGAUACAGGGUGAUAGUCCCGUAGUUGACGACGUGUGUUCAGUGAAAUCGAGUAGGGCGGGACACGUGAUAUCCUGUCUGAAUAUGGGGGGACCAUCCUCCAAGGCUAAAUACUACUGACUGACCGAUAGUGAACCAGUACCGUGAGGGAAAGGCGAAAAGAACCCCUGUGAGGGGAGUGAAAUAGAACCUGAAACCGUGUACGUACAAGCAGUAGGAGCAGGCUUGUCCUGUGACUGCGUACCUUUUGUAUAAUGGGUCAGCGACUUAUAUUCAGUGGCAAGGUUAACCAUCUAGGGGAGCCGUAGGGAAACCGAGUCUUAACUGGGCGUUCAGUCUCUGGAUAUAGACCCGAAACCAGGUGAUCUAGCCAUGGGCAGGUUGAAGGUUGAGUAACAUCAACUGGAGGACCGAACCGACUAAUGUUGAAAAAUUAGCGGAUGACUUGUGGCUAGGGGUGAAAGGCCAAUCAAACCUGGAGAUAGCUGGUUCUCCCCGAAAGCUAUUUAGGUAGCGCCUCGGACGAAUACUACUGGGGGUAGAGCACUGUUAAGGCUAGGGGGUCAUCCCGACUUACCAACCCUUUGCAAACUCCGAAUACCAGUAAGUACUAUCCGGGAGACACACGGCGGGUGCUAACGUCCGUCGUGGAGAGGGAAACAACCCAGACCGCCAGCUAAGGUCCCAAAUUACUACUAAGUGGGAAACGAUGUGGGAAGGCUCAGACAGCCAGGAUGUUGGCUUAGAAGCAGCCAUCAUUUAAAGAAAGCGUAAUAGCUCACUGGUCGAGUCGGCCUGCGCGGAAGAUGUAACGGGGCUAAGUAGUAAACCGAAGCUGCGGCAAURURCUUUUGYAYAUUGGGUAGGGGAGCGUUCUGUAAGCGGUUGAAGGUGUGUGGUAACGCAUGCUGGACGUAUCAGAAGUGCGAAUGCUGACAUGAGUAACGAUAAAGGGGGUGAAAAACCUCCUCGCCGGAAGACCAAGGGUUCCUGUCCAACGUUAAUCGGGGCAGGGUAAGUCGACCCCUAAGGCGAGGCCGAAAGGCGUAGUCGAUGGGAAACGGGUUAAUAUUCCCGUACUUCUUACAAUUGCGAUGGGGGGACGGAGAAGGCUAGGUGGGCCUGGCGACGGUUGUCCAGGUUCAAGUGCGUAGGCUUAAGAGUUAGGUAAAUCCGGCUCUUUUUAAGGCUGAGACACGACGUCGAGCUACUACGGUAGUGAAGUCAUUGAUGCCAUGCUUCCAGGAAAAGCCUCUAAGCUUCAGAUUGUAAGGAAUCGUACCCCAAACCGACACAGGUGGUCGGGUAGAGAAUACCAAGGCGCUUGAGAGAACUCGGGUGAAGGAACUAGGCAAAAUGGUACCGUAACUUCGGGAGAAGGUACGCUCUYGAYGGUGAAGUCCCUCGCGGAUGGAGCURWYGAGAGUCGCAGAUACCAGGUGGCUGCAACUGUUUAUUAAAAACACAGCACUGUGCAAAAUCGUAAGAUGACGUAUACGGUGUGACGCCUGCCCGGUGCCGGAAGGUUAAUUGAUGGGGUUAGACUUCGGUCGAAGCUCUUGAUCGAAGCCCCGGUAAACGGCGGCCGUAACUAUAACGGUCCUAAGGUAGCGAAAUUCCUUGUCGGGUAAGUUCCGACCUGCACGAAUGGCGUAAUGAUGGCCACGCUGUCUCCACCCGAGACUCAGUGAAAUUGAAAUCGCUGUGAAGAUGCAGUGUACCCGCGGCUAGACGGAAAGACCCCGUGAACCUUUACUACAGCUUGGCACUGAACAUUGACCCUACAUGUGUAGGAUAGGUGGGAGGCUUUGAAGCACGUACGCCAGUAUGUGUGGAGCCGUCCUUGAAAUACCACCCUUGUAGUGUUGAUGUUCUAACGUCGACCCCUUAUCGGGGUUGCGGACAGUGCCUGGUGGGUAGUUUGACUGGGGCGGUCUCCUCCCAAAGAGUAACGGAGGAGCACGAAGGUGGGCUAAUCACGGUUGGACAUCGUGAGGUUAGUGCAAUGGCAUAAGCCCGCUUGACUGCGAGAAUGACAAUUCGAGCAGGUGCGAAAGCAGGUCAUAGUGAUCCGGUGGUUCUGAAUGGAAGGGCCAUCGCUCAACGGAUAAAAGGUACUCCGGGGAUAACAGGCUGAUACCGCCCAAGAGUUCAUAUCGACGGCGGUGUUUGGCACCUCGAUGUCGGCUCAUCACAUCCUGGGGCUGAAGUCGGUCCCAAGGGUAUGGCUGUUCGCCAUUUAAAGUGGUACGCGAGCUGGGUUUAGAACGUCGUGAGACAGUUCGGUCCCUAUCUGCCGUGGGCGUUGGAAGAUUGAAGGGGGCUGCUCCUAGUACGAGAGGACCGGAGUGGACGAACCUCUGGUGUUCGGGUUGUGUCGCCAGACGCAUUGCCCGGUAGCUAAGUUCGGAAUCGAUAACCGCUGAAAGCAUCUAAGCGGGAAGCGAGCCCUGAGAUGAGUCUUCCCUGAUACUUUAAGUAUCCUAAAGGGUUGUCGGAGACUACGACGUUGAUAGGUCAGGUGUGUAAGUGCUGUGAGGCAUUGAGCUAACUGAUACUAAUUGCCCGUGAGGCUUAACCAU
rnacentral:rRNA from 1 species